CCUACGGGAGGCAGCAGUGGGGGAUAUUGCACAAUGGAGGAAACUCUGAUGCAGCGACGCCGCGUGAGGGAAGACGGUCUUCGGAUUGUAAACCUCUUUUGUCAGGGAGCAACGCCGGCUACGUGUAGCCGGACUGAGAGUACCUGAAGAAAAAGCAUCGGCUAACUCCGUGCCAGCAGCCGCGGUAAUACGGAGGAUGCGAGCGUUAUCCGGAUUUAUUGGGUUUAAAGGGUGCGUAGGCGGAAUGCCAAGUCAGCGGUAAAAUCGCGGGGCUCAACCUCGCUCCGCCGUUGAAACUGGCGUUCUUGAGUGGGCGAGAAGUAUGCGGAAUGCGUGGUGUAGCGGUGAAAUGCAUAGAUAUCACCCAGAACUCCGAUUGCGAAGGCAGCAUACCGGCGCCCAACUGACGCUGAAGCACGAAAGCGUGGGUAUCGAACAGGAUUAGAUACCCCUGUAGUC
rnacentral:rRNA from 1 species